UACGAAGGGGGCUAGCGUUGCUCGGAAUCACUGGGCGUAAAGCGCACGUAGGCGGCUUUUUAAGUCAGGGGUGAAAUCCUGGAGCUCAACUCCAGAACUGCCUUUGAUACUGAGAAGCUUGAGUUCGGGAGAGGUGAGUGGAACUGCGAGUGUAGAGGUGAAAUUCGUAGAUAUUCGCAAGAACACCAGUGGCGAAGGCGGCUCACUGGCCCGAUACUGACGCUGAGGUGCGAAAGCGUGGGGAGCGAACAGG
rnacentral:rRNA from 1 species